AAAGCAGUAAGUGCUCUUAACCAUUGAGCCAUCUCUCCAGACACCACAAAACAAAUCUUUAAAAAGCCAUGUCCAAAAUCAUCACCUCCGCAGAGCUGUCCCCAGCCGGGGGCAAUUACUCUUUCCCAGAGUUAAGCAGGAAAAGUACCUUCACCAAGUGUUCCCACAGUGCCCUAUGAUGGCCGACGCUUGCCCCUCCCUCUGUGCGUUCCUCUAAGGAAGGGGCAUUGUUAAGACUUCUUGAGACUAUUCAACACAUUCACUGACUAAGGUAGAAGUUUGGCUAUUUUAAGCUCAAGGUAUCCUGGGAAUCUAUCUCUCCCCAAGGGUUCAGUGGAUUUGACAUUUUUUUUUGGAAGAUAGAAGACAUAAAAGCAGGUUCUGGCUGAAGCCAGUUCAGAGGACUCUGUGUGGCACUAGCUCAGAAUGUAUUGUAAGAAAGAAUGAUUUUCCCAUAGUUGAAACCUCUUGAUCCGUUAAAUCCCACAAGCUGGAAGCCAGAGGCUAUCUGUGUCAGCUUCACUUUUCGCUUCUCUCAUUCCUUCACGCACAAGAGAGGUGUCCUUCGCUUCAGACAGUGGACAAGCCUCAUCCAGUUAUGUUUAGCUGGUCUGGCUCGCUGUGCUUCCUUCCCCAGCAUCCACACAAAGCUCACAUCCAAGUUCCCAGCAUUCCCCUGGGGUGGACCGCGAUAUCCAUGCAUCCUUCCAUGCUGCUGCAGACUGAAUGGGACCUUCGGGGGACCCUAGGCUUCCCAAGAUAGAGAUGAUCCUGCCUAGCGCAUUACCAGCUGGCCGAGUAAACAUCGAGAGACUAUAAGGAUAUUUUAUUUUAAUUGCCUGAGCCUCAGGAUUAUGGAAUCAAGAUGGAAGGGGAGGAUUCUGAAACAGGGUGGCAGUCAGGUGUGGGGGAGGGGCGGUGUGGGCUCCCUAAGACAAGCUGGUGGUCAGACUUCCUAUUGGUCAGGAGCUCUUGACCUUGACCCAGGAGAGACUGAGAAGAAUUUGGAGGAGGCCAAGCUGCUGUCCUGUUGACAAGAGGGCAGGUUCCAAGCCAGUCAAUUAAACACAUUUCUCCUUAAUAAAUGUAGCAACUGGCAUGAAAAUAUGUCUUAUUUUCGAAGAUGCAUGAAUCAGUCAGUUUGGCAAGGGGCCCAAGAGGCAAGAGCAGUCUGAGCUGUCAGCCGUGCAAUGUCCCGAUGGUGGGUUCCAGGUUUAACUCUCUAGGGAACACAGCUUUCCAGAACAGGGCUCCGGAGCCAGCAUCCCCUGGAGCUUAGGAAGUGGACGGAGAGCCAGGGUGCAGGGCUUGGAUGGAGUCACCGACUGGGAGGAGCUACAGAUGGCAGGCACAGUAGACAUGGCAUUAGCUCAGCCGCAUGUGGCCAUACCAGGGCAAUGUCUGCAAGUGUUCCUACGGACCUGACAACCCAUUAGUAGUGUGGUCCCUGGGCUCAGAGGUAAAUGUACCUGGGGUUCUAAGCUUUCUCAUCCACACAGACGGACUUGUGUGCACAGGAACCCGGAAAAACUGUAGAGUGGCUUCCUGAUGGGACACACCCAGGUCUGGUAGGAGCAUCACCUGGAUACAGCCUGCACUGUGAACACUGGGAGUGUGGGGUUGGGCAAGGCUGUCCUUUUACAUGGUGUCAUCAGGUCUCUGCAAAGCAUUGACCGCUCCACACAGUUCUUUGUAUUCUUGUAUGUGUUUAAAGACAAGAUCUCCUGCAACAGUAUGGGAAGGAACCUGCUGCUGGGUCUAAUGACCUGAGCAGCAUCCCUGGGACCAACACAGUGAAAGGACAGAACUGAUUUCCAUAAAUUCCUGGACUCAGUGUUCAUCCUGCUUCGGCCUCCUGGUGCAUGCCAGGAGAGCCGGCUUGAUGUGUAGUCCUCAAAGUGGCUGCCACUGCGGCGGCAGGAGCAGUGCAAGUUCCCCUGAAUUCCCUUUCACCUGCCACCAGGAUUCCCUAGGGAGACCCCCCCCCCCCAGGCUCUCUGCCUGCAAUGUCAUACUUGGGAGGUGGAGGCGAAGG